CUGGACGGCCAUAGGGGCUUGGUUCAUCCGUUCCCUUUUCGAACACGGAAAUUAAGAACGCUUCCGUACCUUGGUGUACUGCAUUACGUGGGAAACUUGGUAAGCUGUCCAUC
rnacentral:rRNA from 1 species